GAUGAACGCUAGCUACAGGCUUAACACAUGCAAGUCGAGGGGCAGCACUAGGUAGCAAUACUGAGGUGGCGACCGGCGCACGGGUGCGUAACGCGUAUCCAACCUUCCCGUUACUCAGGGAUAGCCUUCCGAAAGGGAGAUUAAUACCUGAUGGUGUUCAAAUUCCGCAUGUUAUUUGAACUAAAGAUUUAUCGGUAACGGAUGGGGAUGCGUGACAUUAGGUAGAUGGCGGGGUAACGGCCCACCAUGCCUACGAUGUCUAGGGGUUCUGAGAGGAAGGUCCCCCACACUGGAACUGAGACACGGUCCAGACUCCUACGGGAGGCAGCAGUGAGGAAUAUUGGUCAAUGGGCGAGAGCCUGAACCAGCCAAGUAGCGUGAAGGAAGACUGCCCUAUGGGUUGUAAACUUCUUUUGUUCGGGAAUAAAGUGCAGUACGCGUACUGUUUUGUAUGUACCGCUCGAAUAAGCAUCGGCUAAUUCCGUG
rnacentral:rRNA from 1 species